rnacentral:pre_miRNA from 1 species
UAAUGUGUCUGAAAUUGAGUCUAUUGACAGAUAGCGAUCAUACUACACUUCCUAUCUGUCAGUAGACUCAAUUUCAGACACAUUA